AACAAUUAAAAAGAUUAAUACGACGUACAUAUAUCAUUUGAAAGAAAUUAUUACUGGAAAAAUUAAACAAGUGGCAGAGAGAUGAAUCGAUUUUUGGUGAUUAUAUAGUUGGCAUCUUGGAGAGUGAUGAAAUGCAUGAAUAUUGAAACUUCAGCAAGAACACUUCAGCAAUAUUAGUCCAUAAAUUUCAUUGUUAACUAUAAUCGUCAGUUGAUUAAGUUUAUUUAAGAAAUUAACAAAUAAAAGUGUUAACUGAAAUAGGCCAACGAUUCUAUUGUAUUAUCUGUUGUUGUUGUUGUUGUUGUUGUUGUUGUUGCUGUUCUUGUUGCUACUGCUGUAACAAAAUGCCCAUUUCACAGCAAACACACAAAAGGUUGACAAGACUUUGUACAUGGAAUGAGAUGAGGAAGAAAGUAUAAAAACACGAUAUAAUGUUGCUUGUAAAUCCUACCAAAGCUGUUACUGUACCAUAUACAAUUUGGAAUAUCAUGACAUCACGCGGCUUAUUGCUUACUGCUUACAGCUGAUUAGGUCUAUUAAAUUAUGCGAUAUGGAGUCAAUGUCAUCACUAAAAUACUAGACCUGUCGGAUUCUGUAUCUGAUGUUUUUUUUCGCAUUUCAUACGAAUUACUAGUGCGAUGGAUGUUAAAAAGCUCAUGGAUGAAAUCGAAAUUUAUUUGACAAAAUGUAUGCGAUAAAAAAGAAGGAAAUUAUUUUUAAUCCAUUUAAAUGUGGGCUUAAAAUUUCGAAUUUAGAUAAAAAAAGACUUAAAUGGAAAGUAAUAUUAACGGGAAGUUUAACCAAAUAUGCACCUAUCCAAGAAGAAAUGUUUAUGCAAGGCGAAUAUAUGUUACAACCUCUCUAAUGAUAAAUGAAGAGUGAUUGUGAAAAUAAAAAAGAACAAUUUAAUUUACAAAGGAAAAAUAUAUAACUGAACGACAUUACUGAGGAUAUUUUCUUAAUAAAAUAGAAUACUAGAACAAGGAAAGUCACCAAUGUUGCAAAUUUGAUUGUCCAUUAA